rnacentral:rRNA from 1 species
GACGAACGCUGGCGGCGUGCCUAAUACAUGCAAGUCGAGCGCAGGAAACUGACGGAACUCUUCGGAGGGAAGGCAGCGGAAUGAGCGGCGGACGGAUGAGUAACACGUAAGGAACCUGCCUCAAGGAUUGGGAUAACUCCGAGAAAUCGGAGCUAAUACCGGAUAGUUCAACGGACCGCAUGGUCCGCUGAUGAAAGGCGCUUCGGCGUCACCUUGAGAUGGCCUUGCGGUGCAUUAGCUAGUUGGUGGGGUAACGGCCCACCAAGGCGACGAUGCAUAGCCGACCUGAGAGGGUGAUCGGCCACACUGGGACUGAGACACGGCCCAGACUCCUACGGGAGGCAGCAGUAGGGAAUCUUCCACAAUGGACGAAAGUCUGAUGGAGCAACGCCGCGUGAGUGAUGAAGGUUUUCGGAUCGUAAAACUCUGUUGUAAGGGAAGAACACGUACGAGAGGAAAUGCUCGUACCUUGACGGUACCUUACGAGAAAGCCACGGCUAACUACGUGCCAGCCACCGCGGUAA